AACGAACGCUGGCGGCAUGCCUAAUACAUGCAAGUCGAACGAGAAAGUUUCUUCGGAAACGAGUAGAGUGGCGCACGGGUGAGUAACACGUAGGUGACCUACCUUUUAGUGGGGGAUAACACCGGGAAACCGGUGCUAAUACCGCAUGUGGAAGUAAUUCCAAAGAUGGCCUCUGUAUAUGCUAUCGCUAAAAGAAGGGCCUGCGGGACAUUAGCUUGUUGGUGGGGUAAUGGCCUACCAAGGCGACGAUGUCUAGCUGGUCUGAGAGGAUGAUCAGCCACACUGGAACUGAGACACGGUCCAG
rnacentral:rRNA from 1 species